ensembl:lncRNA
GGGGCGGGCUGGCCUAUGGUGGAUGGUGCUAGGGUUUUAGAAAUGAAGGCAGUGAGUACCAACUGAGUGGCAGCUACCUAGAAAAGUCGGCUCUGAAAGAGAAAAGGGCUGCGCCCGUCGCAUCGGUUUGUGCUAUUUUUAUCCCUGCCUGUAGGCCAACUGUAUGUCCGUGACUGCUGGCGAAUGCAUGUAUAGGGACACGCUCAGAGAAGGGAUUUAGGAUAUCCUGAAUACCGAGAUGACAAAAAUGCACCCCGAGUAAUCAAAAAAUGAAAAAAGGAGUUUUAUUCUUUGCGUAUUUUGUAGUCUCUUUGGCUCUUAUCACAAAUGUAUGAGUAUAAAACAUGACACAGCAAGUAAAUAUCUGAUUUAGCUCACACAAAACAAACAUUGGCUACACUACAUGCAAGCACGUAUGAGCACAUACAGUGGUCUACAAUCAUUCAAUCAAGGAAUAAGCAGUGUCAGUGGGAGAUGAAGCCAAGGUUUGCCAGCGCAGUGCACGGUGAUCACCGCGUGGUGUCGACAAACCCAACCAGAGAACCUCCUUUAAUUUUAACCCAAACUUUGUCUACCCCCACCACCUCCACCCUUCCAAAAAAAAAAAAAAAAACAAAACAUUAAAAAAAAAACGGCACUCCUGACUCCAGCGAAAACCAAGACACAACACACUUUUUGUCCGAGUUCACAUCACAACGAGAAGGUACUGCUCAUCCUUCUGUUCCUUUCACUAUCACAACUACUCCGACACAGGCAGGAGGCGUGCCUUCUGCAAAAACCACACAAAGAUCUUUGUACACCAAGUCUGUCAAAUGGAUUUCUCAAUUUUACCGGCCACACCUGCACAAAGUACAAAAGAUUCACUUUUAAACGACCUUUAAGGCAAAAGAACAGUACUGUGCAGCGGCUUUAGCCACUCGAGGCGAUUAGCUGCUUCUAAGCAGUUUUCGUUGAGUCAUUUCCUCCCCCCCGCAUGCCAACGAGUUCAACCAUAAAGUCAAGGAUAUAAAGAACUAUCUACGGCAACCAGAAGAAAUAAAAGUCCUGGCACCGAUGGUGUGGCAUCCAGAGAACUGUGAUCUAUGACAGUCUGAAACCACAGAGUAACUGUGGCAAGUUUUUGUCAAGGAUAUUCAAAA